rnacentral:rRNA from 1 species
UACAGAGGCCUCAAGCGUUGUUCGGAUUCAUUGGGCGUAAAGGGUGCGUAGGCGGCGCGGUAAGUCGGGUGUGAAAUCUUGGAGCUUAACUCCGAAACUGCAUUCGAUACUGCCGUGCUUGAGGACUGGAGAGGAGACUGGAAUUUACGGUGUAGCGGUGAAAUGCGUAGAUAUCGUAAGGAAGACCAGUGGCGAAGGCGGGUCUCUGGACAGUUCCUGACGCUGAGGCACGAAGGUCAGGGGAGCAAACGGG